rnacentral:rRNA from 1 species
AUGGCGUGUGCAAGCCAUGUCAUGAUUUUCCUUGUGUUCUCAAAUUUAGCCAUAGCCAUGGCCACCCUUCCUCCUCCCUUGUAUGACCCUAACCUAGGGAAGUGUAAGAAUAGUUGUGAGGAAGAGCUCAAUCUAUCUUUGUACCUACACCAAGUUGUGACAGGACCAGCCCACAACCAAGAAGUAAUUCUCAGCCCUGGCUUUCCUAACAUGUUUGGUAUGAUAGCCGUCGUUGACUGGACCAUAUACGCCGUCCCUGAUUCCACUUCAAGUAUCAUUGCUCGGGCAAAGGGAAUGACUAUCCAGGCUACCCAAAGCGAGGUCAAUGGUGUUGCCUGGUUUCUUCCUUUCAGCAUGGUCUUUCAGGAUUCCAGGUUUGGCGGUUCUACGCUGCAAGUGAUGGGAGCAAUUACUGGUGCAGUAGAUGGUGAGUGGGCUAUUGUGGGUGGGACUGGCAAAUUGUCCACGGCACGUGGUACUAUUAAGUUCAUAGCAGUCCAGGCACAGAGCACCCCAACCUUUGAGGUCUACAGAAGGAUUGAUAUCCAUGCAUUCUACACACCCGCACCGGCCGUUUAA